rnacentral:rRNA from 1 species
GACGAACGCUGGCGGCGUGCCUAAUACAUGCAAGUCGAACGAACCGCGACUAAGUGCUUGCACUAAGUCAAGGUGAGUGGCGAACGGGUGAGUAACACGUGGGUAACCUACCUCAUAGUGGGGGAUAACAGUCGGAAACGACUGCUAAUACCGCAUAGGACAUAGGGUCACAUGAUCCAGUGAGGAAAGGUGGCGCAAGCUAUCGCUACGAGAUGGACCCGCGGUGCAUUAGCUAGUUGGUAGGGUAAAGGCCUACCAAGGCGAUGAUGCAUAGCCGACCUGAGAGGGUGAUCGGCCACAUUGGGACUGAGACACGGCCCAAACUCCUACGGGAGGCAGCAGUAGGGAAUCUUCGGCAAUGGACGCAAGUCUGACGGAGCAACGCCGCGUGAGUGAAGAAGGUCUUCGGAUCGUAAAGCUCUGUUGUUAGAGAAGAACAGCGCAUAGAGUAACUGCUAUGCGUGUGACGGUAUCUAACCAGAAAGCCACGGCUAACUACGUG